rnacentral:tRNA from 1 species
GGUGAGAUGGCUCAGUGGGUAAGAGCACCCGGCUGCUCUUCCGAAGGUCCAGAGUUCAAAUCUCAGCAACCA